GCAGUACAAAAUCUACUAUUUAUUGUCGAAAAAUAUACCCCAAAUUUAAACAACUUUCACAUAUUAUGACUUGAUUAUAGUAUCAAAGUUUUUGCAAAAAACAAUAUAUGAUGUGCUUAAAAAUACCAAAAUGACAUAAUUACCAUUUAUGGUCUCACUGAAGCGAUAUAACAGCUUGGCGUGUCAAUUCAUCGGCAUUACCACAUUUCUCGGUCGAACUUUAGUAUAUUCGCUAACAAUAGUACCCGAAGAAGAAGCACAUUCCAGUACAAGCAAUCGAUCAUUAAAUACUCAAUUAUGUUAACUUUGAAAAGCAUGUGUCAAUAAAUUUUUGGUUAACUACUUCAAAAUUAAGUUUUUUUAAUUUCUUUUUUAAUAAUGAGGCUUUUCUAAGGCUGUAGUAACUCAUCGUUAUUACGAUAUCAAAAUACACAAGGACGUUUAUAUUAUAGUUGACAAUCGAUUGCAA